rnacentral:rRNA from 1 species
AGUGAACGCUGGCGGUAGGCCUAACACAUGCCAGUCGAACGGCAGCACAGUAAGAGCUUGCUCUUACGGGUGGCGAGUGGCGGACGGGUGAGGAAUACAUCGGAAUCUACUUUUUCGUGGGGGAUAACGUAGGGAAACUUACGCUAAUACCGCAUACGACCUACGGGUGAAAGCAGGGGAUCUUCGGACCUUGCGCGAUUGAAUGAGCCGAUGUCGGAUUAGCUAGUUGGCGGGGUAAAGGCCACCAAGGCGACGAUCCGUAGCUGGUCUGAGAGGAUGAUCAGCCACACUGGAACUGAGACACGGUCCAGACUCCUACGGGAGGCAGCAGUGGGGAAUAUUGGACAAUGGGCGCAAGCCUGAUCCAGCCAUACCGCGUGGGUGAAGAAGGCCUUCGGGUUGUAAAGCCCUUUUGUUGGGAAAGAAAAGCAGCAGGUUAAUACCCCGCUGUUCUGACGGUACCCAAAGAAUAAGCACCGGCUAACUUCGUG